AGAUGUGAGGGCCAUCUGGCCACGACACCUGUCACCCCACUGAUCGCCAGGGUUGAUUCGGCUGAUCUGCUGGCUAAGCGGGUGUCCCCGUCCUCUCUCACCGCUCCGUGUGGGUCCCUCCCGAAGCCCCGAGCUCAGUCGGUCGAAGAGGACGACUUCCCCGAUAGAGGAGGACCGCGCUUCGGUCAAGGGUGCACGCGUAGCUGCGCUCCCCUGCUAGACCCUCCAAACGAGCUCUCACGAGUCCGCGGUUCCCACAGCCCCUGCUUCUCAAUUCCACAGUUCCAAAAA
rnacentral:snRNA from 1 species